GGUGGGAGAGUGAGGUGGCUACAUUACAGUAGACACAUCAAGAGGGGAAACGGGGGACGAGAGAGGUGGCUACACCAUAAAACAUUGAGGAGAAGAAGAAAGGAGCAACCGAGCGCGGCAGCUAGGUCAUAAGUGAUAGAGAAGGAUAUGAGACGGCAUGAGGGUGAGCGAGGUGAUCUACUGACAUGUCAUAGGACAAAAGAGGAAAGCGAACAGCUAGAGAGAAAAGAACAUGAUAAUAAAAAAGAUAGAAAUUAAGAUUGCCAUAACAUCUUCAUGAGAUCGUAGAAAUUCAUCUAUAGUGUUUUGAGGUAUUCGUUUUACUUAUCCUUAGUUCUGUAUUUGAAAAUGUUCGCUAGGAAUGGGCGACCAUUUUAGUCAUAGACAUGUGUGAUCCUCGUGUCCUUUGUUUUCUUUUGAUCGAUGAAAUGUUGUAUUGUUUUUUUAACCAACAUGCCUAAAGAAGGGGAAAUGUUGCAACUAUGAGCUGUAAGCUAUAUGGUUGCCUCUACCUUCAUUUUUUUGGGGAAAAAAAAACAGAUCUACAAUCGUAAGAUGGUUAAAACCGACAGUCUGGGAUACAAUACAAACGCCACCUACAACCGUACGCCAUUCACGCGCCUUGAAAAACAAGCGUGCAAAACAAGCAAAAGGCGAGCUGUCCACAAGGCACAGUGAGAUUCCCCCCGGCCCUGUCGGACCCCCAGCC
rnacentral:lncRNA from 1 species